CGACCAGGUGCUUCUGCUGCUACCGAAGGCCUCCUACAAAUUCCUGGCCUGCUGGCAGGAGCAUUACACCAUUCUUGAGAGGGUAGGCCCAGUGAACUACUGCCUGCAGCAGCCCAAACCCAACGAGUGUACCUUGUUCCACUGAGGAGAGGACCUCACACCCAUGCAGCGAGAACAGCUGACAGAGUUGAUGGACCAAUUCACUGACGUCUUUUCAGCCUACACUGGCCUGACCCAUCUGGUCCAGAACGACAUAGAGAUGCCGCAGGGUGUGGUGGUCAGACAGCAGCCCUACUGUGUCCCAGAGGCUCACUGUUAGGAUACUGAGGAGGAAGUUAGCCGGAUUUUGGGGGACAGAAUCAUCGAGGAGUCAACCAGUCCUUGGUCCAGUCCCAUUGUGAUGGUUUUGAAGCCUGAUGGCAGAGCCCAGUUGUUCAAUGACUUCCGGAGGCUCAACCAGGUAUCGGAGUUUGACAGCUACCCCCUUCACCGGGGCCAUGAUCUGAUCGAGUGUCUGGGGAGAGCCUGGUUCAUCAGCACCAUGGACCUAACAAAGGGCUAUUGGUUGGUCUACCCCCAGCCCAUAUCCAAGAAACAGUCUAUUUGGGAUUGGUAGGAUACUAUCAUCACUUUGUCCCUAACUUCUCCACUUUAGCUUCCCUCCUCUUAGAUCUCAUCAAGAAGGGUCAACUGGACUGUGUGCAAUGGACCGAGGAAGCAGAGCAGGCAUUCCAGACCCUCAAGCAGGCCCUCACCUGCUUCUCUGUCCUCUGGAACUCUGACUUCUCGCUAUCCUUCACCAUACAUAUGGAAGCAUCCAAGACAGGACUAGGGGGUGUCCUGUCUCAAACAUUCGACGGUGAAGAGCACCCGGUCCUGUACGACAGCAGGAAGCAAACCCUGGCCGAACUUACAUAUGCCGCUGUGGAGCGAGAAGCCUUCACCAUCAAGUGGGCCAUCGAGGGACUGCACUGCUACCUGGCGAGGUAACAUUUCACCCUGGUCAUUGACCAUGCCCUCCUGCCAUGGAUGGCCAGGGCUAAAGACAUGAACGCCAGGAUGACCAGGUGGUUCCUUGCAAUACAGGACUUCGUUCCCAGUCCAACAACGGUUGAGGAUCCAGCAGGGGGACGCAGAUGGCCUCUCAAGAAGACGCAGACGCCGAAGAUGAUGAGGACAGCGGAAAAGAAACUCCCCAGGUGUGCUACACCUCUCCUGACCCUCCAUGGCCUCCUCUAUGCCACCUGGGUCCCACCUUGUGGCAGCUCCAGCCCCCUCGUCGUGACCCUCACUAGCACGACAGCAAGUUCCCCACUCUCACUCCUCU
ensembl:lncRNA